CUGCAGUAUUACAGUGGAAGGUUGUGCUGCUCUGGCUUCAGCUCUGAAGAAAAACCCCUCACACCUGAGAGAGCUGAAGCUGAACUACAAUUACCUAGGAGCCUAAGGAGGGGAGAAGCUCUCUGAUCUACUGAAGGAUCCAAACUGUAAACUGGAGAAACUAGAGUUGUCUAAGUGCAGUAUUAGAGAGGAAGGUUGUGCUGCUCUGGCUUCAGCUCUGAAGAAAAACCCCUCACACCUAAGAGAGCUGAACCUGAAUAACAAUGAACCAGGAGACUCAGGAGUGAAGAAGCUCUCUGAUCUACUGGAGGA